rnacentral:lncRNA from 1 species
UCCACUGUCCCCAGCUGCUCCAUAUCCGCCACAGCAUUGCUUCUCCACUCUCCCCAGCUGCUCCAUAUCCACCACACCAUAUGCUUCUCUGCCCUCCCCAGCUGCUCCUUAUCCGCCACACCAUAUGCUUCUCCACUCUCCCCAGCUGCUCCUUAUCCACCACACCAUAUGCUUCUCCAUUCUCCCCAGCUGCUCCAUAUCCGCCACAGCAUAUGCUUCUCCACUGUCCCCAGCUGCUCCUUAUCCACCACAGCAUAUGCUUCUCCACUGUCCCCAGCUGCUCCAUAUCCACCACACCAUAUGCUUCUCCACUGUCCCCAGCUGCUCCUUAUCCGCCACAGCAUAUGCUUCUCCACUCUCCCCAGCUGCUCCAUAUCCGCCACAGCAUAUGCUUCUCCACUCUCCCCAGCUGCUCCUUAUCCACCACACCAUAUGCUUCUCCACUGUCCCCCGCUGCUCCUUAUCCACCACAGCAUAUGCUUCUCCACUGUCCCCAGCUGCUCCUUAUCCACCACACCAUAUGCUUCUCCACUCUCCCCAGCUGCUCCUUAUCCACCACAGCAUAUGCUUCUCCACUCUCCCCAGCUGCUCCUUAUCCGCCACAGCAUAUGCUUCUCCACUCUCCCCAGCUGCUCCUUAUCCGCCACAGCAUAUGCUUCUCCACUGUCCCCAGCUGCUCCUUAUCCACCACACCAUAUGCUUCUCUGCCCUCCCCAGCUGCUCCUUAUCCACCACAGCAUAUGCUUCUCCACUCUCCCCAGCUGCUCCUUAUCCGCCACAGCAUAUGCUUCUCCACUCUCCCCAGCUGCUCCUUAUCCACCACAGCAUAUGCUUCUCCACUCUCCCCAGCUGCUCCAUAUCCGCCAGAGCAUAUGCUUCUCCACUGUCCCCAGCUGCUCCUUAUCCGCCACAGCAUAUGCUUCUCCACUGUCCCCAGCUGCUCCUUAUCCGCCACACCAUAUGCUUCUCCACUGUCCCCAGCUGCUCCAUAUCCGCCAGAGCAUAUGCUUCUUCCACUGUCCCCAGCUGCUCCAUAUCCGCCAGAGCAUAUGCUUCUCCACUGUCCCCAGCUGCUCCUUAUCCACCACAGCAUAUGCUUCUCCACUGUCCCCAGCUGCUCCAUAUCCACCACAGCAUAUGCUUCUCCACUCUCCCCAGCUGCUCCUUACCCACCACAGCAUAUGCUUCUCCACUGUCCCCAGCUGCUCCAUAUCCGCCACAGCAUAUGCUUCUCCACUGUCCCCAGCUGCUCCUUACCCACCACAGCAUAUGCUUCUCCACUGUCCCCAGCUGCUCCUUAUCCACCACAGCAUAUGCUUCUCCACUGUCCCCAGCUGCUCCUUAUCCACCACACCAUAUGCUUCUCCACUCUCCCCAGCUGCUCCAUAUCCGCCAGAGCAUAUGCUUCUCCACUCUCCCCAGCUGCUCCUUAUCCGCCACAGCAUAUGCUUCUCCACUGUCCCCAGCUGCUCCUUAUCCACCAAAGCAUAUGCUCUCCACUGUCCCCAGCUGCUCCAUAUCCGCCACAGCAUAUGCUUCUCCACUGUCCCCAGCUGCUUCCUUAUCCGCCACAGCAUAUGCUUCUCCACUGUCCCAAGCUGCUCCUUAUCCGCCACAGCAUAUGCUUCUCCACUUUUUUUUUUUUUGCCCGUUUCUUUAUUUUUUUAUGUAUUUAUUUUAUUUUUUUAAUGUUUCUAUUUAUUUUUGAGACAGAGAGAGAAUGA